AAUGAAUUUCUACAGUGUGGCUAACUCUAACACUGUUUGUCGAAUGGUCAUUGUCAAAUAUUGUGAUAAUUCCCAUUUCAGUUCAAGAAUAAUACAUGCAACAUGAUGUUAAUGUUGUAACGACAUUAAUGUCCCUGUAUGAUGUGAACGUGUUGUCACUGUUUGAAUGUACUCAGUGAAUUUGAGAUUGAUUUAAACAGGGACAUGUAUGACAAUAAUGUUCAAUUAUCAUUUGUAUUGCAACCUGAGCUCAGGCGUGAUUACCCGCUGAACUUAAGCAUAUCAUUUAGCGGAGGAAAAGAAACUAAA
rnacentral:rRNA from 1 species